UGAUUAUAGUGAGGAUACAAUUGACCUUGCUCGUAGUCAUGCCAUCAGGGAUGGAUUUUCAAGAAUCAAGUUUCUGGUUGAUGAUAUUGAGACAAAGUUGGAAAGACAAUUUCAACUUGUGAUGGAUAAGGGGACACUUGAUGCUAUUGGCUUGCAUCCUGAUGGGCCUAUCAAAAGGUAAUUACAUCUUGCAACCAUACAAAAGAUGAACUGGUGCAUGAGGUUGAAAGCUUCAAUCAAAGAAAUGCUGGGAUGGCACAAGAAACAAACACGGAUCGUCCCCCGUUCCAGUACCUUAACCAUGUCCGAACUUAUCCUACGUUCAUGUUUGGUGGAUCUUUGGGAUCGCAUGUUGCCACAGUUGCAUUUCAACGGAACUAAAAUCGUAGAUUUCAAACCCUAAACCUACUAGAUAUCACCUAUCUAGGAUAAUUACAUGGAUUAACUAAGCUAAACUUUGGAUUCAAUUUUCUUUUUCAUUUUUCUCAAUAUCUUCAAUUAACAAAUAAUAAGGGUUUUAGCUUGCUAUUUA